rnacentral:rRNA from 1 species
UACAGAGGGUGCAAGCGUUGUUCGGAAUUAUUGGGCGUAAAGGGCGCGUAGGCGGUGCUGUAAGUCUGUAGUGAAAUCUCUGGGCUCAACUCAGAGUCUGCUAUAGAAACUGCAGUGCUGGAGUGUGGGAGAGGUAAGCGGAAUUCCUGGUGUAGCGGUGAAAUGCGUAGAUAUCAGGAGGAACACCUGUGGUGUAGACAGCUUACUGGACCACUUCUGACGCUGAGACACGAAAGCAUGGGGAGCAAACAGG